rnacentral:rRNA from 1 species
GAUGAACGCUGGCGGCGUGCCUAACACAUGCAAGUCGAACGGAAAGGCCCUGCUUUUGUGGGGUGCUCGAGUGGCGAACGCGUGAGUAACACGCGAGUAACCUGUACCUGACUUUGGGAUAUCUUCAGGAAACAGGGGCUCAUAACGGAUAGGAGCUCCUGCUCCACGGGGGGGGAUGGCAAGUGUCGGUGGUUGGGGAUGGACUCGCGGGUUAUCAGCUUGUUGGUGGAGUAGUGGCUUACCAAGGCUUAGACGGGUAGCCGGCCUGAGAGGGGGACCGGCGACAUUGGUACUACGAUACGGCCCAGAAGCCUACGGGAGGCAGCGGUGGGGAAUAUUGCACAGUGGCCGCAAGCCUGAGGCAACAACGCCGGGUGCGGGAUGACGGCCUUUGUGUUGUAAACCGAUGUCGCCUGAGACGUGGCGUUAGUGACGGUAACUAGUCAAAAAGCCACGGCUAACUACGUG